rnacentral:rRNA from 1 species
UACAGAGGUGGCAAGCGUUGUUCGGAAUUACUGGGCGUAAAGGGCGCGUAGGCGGUCUUGUAAGUCCUGUGUGAAAUCCCUCGGCUCAACUGAGGAACUGCACGGGAAACUGCUUGGCUUGAGUUCGGGAGAGGGAAGCGGAAUUCCGGGUGUAGCGGUGAAAUGCGUAGAUAUCCGGAGGAACACCGGUGGCGAAGGCGGCUUCCUGGACCGACACUGGACGCUGAGGCGCGAAAGCUAGGGGGAGCAAACGGG